rnacentral:ncRNA from 1 species
UUCAGAAUCAUCCGGUUAAAAGGGAAACAGGUGUGAAUCCUGUACGAUCUCGUCACUGUAUGUAGGGAGUAUGGAGCAAGGUGCGGAGCAUGUUUAUGAAAAUCGGAAAUGAAUUUUCAAACACACUCCAACGCACAGUCACUGGGCAGCUGGGAAGACUGCUUCAUAUGUUGAUCUAUCAGUCAGGAAACCUGCCUGCUGUU